AUGGAUCACAACCUUCGCAUUGUGUUCUGGAACGUGUGUGGCCUUAAUGCCCCGGCCAAGCGCACCGCCAUUCGCAGCGUGAUCGCCGCUGCCUCGCCUUGUAUUGUUUGCAUCCAAGAGACUAAGAUGGUUUCUCUCUCGUCCUCGUUUGUCACUGAGACGCUCAGCUCGUCCUUCUCUGUGUUUUUCUUCCUUCCCACGGAUGGGACCCGUGGGGGUAUCCUGCUUGCUUGGCGCCCGAACAUGAUCGCGCUUCCCGAUCCAUGCCGCGGCGAGCACCACAUCACUGCGCUGGCCUCUUCUCUCGAUGGUGCCCAUCACUGGUGGCUCACUGGCGUUUAUGGCCCGCAAGGUGAUGAUGACAAGCUGAUUGCGUGCCUUGAUGCGGCGCAGGACUUCCGGCCCCUUUCCCCGGCCGAGGCCUGGUUGCGUAGGCACCUCAAAGGGGCGUACCUGGGGCUGGCGUCGCUCGAGCGCUCGAUCUCGCGCCAGCGUGUCAGUCUGUCCUGGUUUUGGGACGGCGACGCGGGUCAGAAGUUCUUCAGGGUGCAUGCAGCGCACCGCAAGUAG
rnacentral:rRNA from 1 species